AUUGAACGCUAGCGGCAGGCUUUACACAUGCAAGUCGAACGAGUGGCGGACGGGUGAGUAAUCUCUCGGAACGUGCCCAGUAGCGGGGGAUAACUACUCGAAACAGUGGCUAAUACCGCAUACCAUUGGCGUGGCCGAUAUCGGAUUAGCUAGUUGGUGGGGUAAAGGCUCACAAAGGCAACGAUCCGUAGCUGGUUUGAGUGGACGACCAGCCACACUGGAACGGAGACACGGUCCAGACUCCGACGGGAGGCAGCAGUGGGGAAUUUUGGACAAUGGGGGAAACCCUGAUCCAGCCAUCCCGCGUGUAUGAGAAGGCCUUCGGGUUGUAAAGUACUUUUGGCGGAGAAGCGGUAUCUGAAGAAGAAGCACCGGCUAACUACGUGCCAGCAGCCGCGGUAAUUC
rnacentral:rRNA from 1 species